GGCUCAGAAUGAACGCUGGCGGCGUGCCUAAUACAUGCAAGUCGAACGGGAAGCCUGUUUUCGGAUAGGUGGAGAGUGGCGCACGGGUGAGUAACACAUGGCUGACCUGCCCUUCAGACGAGGACAACCGGUGGAAACGCUGGCUAAUACUCGAUACGUUCGGGGGAGUUAGAGACCCCUGAAGAAAGCGUUUAGCGCUGAAGGAGGGGGCUGUGGCCCAUCAGCUAGUUGGUAAGGUAACGGCUUACCAAGGCGAGGACGGGUAGGGGGCCUGAGAGGGUGACCCCCCACACGGGUACUGGGACACGGACCCGACUCCUACGGGAGGCAGCAGUAAGGGAUAUUGCGCAAUGGGCGAAAGCCUGACGCAGCAACGCCGCGUGGAGGAUGACGGCCUUCGGGUUGUAAACUCCUUUUCUGUGUGAAGAGGAAGGACGGUAGCACAGGAAUAAGUCUCGGCUAACUACGUGCCAGCAGCCGCGGUAAAACGUAGGAGGCGAGCGUUAUCCGGAUUUACUGGGUGUAAAGCGCGUGCAGGCGGUGUCGUAAGUCGUGUGUGAAAGCGCUCAGGCUCAACCGGGCGAGGCCAUGCGAAACUGCGGCACUAGAGGUAGGUAGAGGUAUGUGGAAUUCCGGGUGUAGUGGUGAAAUGCGUAGAGAUCCGGAGGAACACCAGUGGCGAAGGCGACAUACUGGACCUGACCUGACGCUAAGACGCGAAGGCAUGGGGAGCGAACGGGAUUAGAAACCCCGGUAGUCCAUGCCGUAAACGAUGUGUACUAAGUGUUG
rnacentral:rRNA from 1 species